rnacentral:rRNA from 1 species
AGUGAACGCUGGCGGUAGGCCUAACACAUGCAAGUCGAACGGCAGCACAGUAAGAGCUUGCUCUUACGGGUGGCGAGUGGCGGACGGGUGAGGAAUACAUCGGAAUCUACUUUUUCGUGGGGGAUAACGUAGGGAAACUUACGCUAAUACCGCAUACGACCUACGGGUGAAAGCAGGGGAUCUUCGGGCCUUGCGCGAUUGAAUGAGCCGAUGUCGGAUUAGCUAGUUGGCGGGGUAAAGGCCCACCAAGGCGACGAUCCGUAGCUGGUCUGAGAGGAUGAUCAGCCAAACUGGAACUGAGACACGGUCCAGACUCCUACGGGAGGCAGCAGUGGGGAAUAUUGGACAAAGGGCGCAAGCCUGAUCCAGCCAUACCGCGUGGGUGAAGAAGGCCUUCGGGUUGUAAAGCCCUUUUGUUGGGAAAGAAAAGCAGCAGGUUAAUACCCCGCUGUUCUGACGGUACCCAAAGAAUAAGCACCGGCUAACUUCGUG